CACAAAACUCACUCCAGCGCAGAAAACAGUCGAAGGAGAUUGUGCUCGCGCGAGGGAUAUUUACGCGCGCGAGUUGUGUUUUUGCGAUUACUAGUUUUGACAUUAAUGUAACGCCAUAGUACACAGCCUGCAGUACACUGGUGAAUAGUUGUGUUACCUACCCGUUCUGUGACCAAGUUGACCUCCAGCGGUUUUGCCAGACAAUGAGUGAGUGUUUCUGCACUCUUUGAAGACCAAAGCAUUACACUAGAAGUAUGGGGGGAUCUCAACAUGAGACGGUGGCUGAAAGAGUGGAGGACAAAGGGAAAGAUGAAGGAGUUCAUCUCAGGCGGAAGAUCACUCUGCUGCCCGCUGUCUCCUUCAUCAUCGGCUCAGUGGUGGGCAGUGGCAUCUUCAUUGCUCCUAAAGGGGUGCUGAUGAAUUCAGGCAACGUGGGUCUGUCCUUGCUGGUGUGGGCACUCUGUGGCGUCCUCUCCACCUUUGGUGCCCUGUGCUAUGCUGAGUUAGGUACCAGCUUUAAAAAGUCUGGUGGUCAUUAUACAUACUUACUUGAGACCCUUGGCCCCCUUCCUGCUUUCCUGAGACUGUGGGCUGAGUUCAUUUUCAUCAGGCCGGCAGUGGCCUCUUAUGUGUCACUGGCUUUUGGGCGCUAUGUUGUAGAACCACUUUACAUGCCAUGCCCAGCUCCUCCAGCACUGGUCAAACUAGUCAGCAUCCUUGGAGUUACAUUUGUAGUGGCAGUGAAUUGCUGGAGCGUGUCUUUGGCCUCUCGUACUCAAGUCACUCUGACCUUCAUUAAAAUCUUUGCUCUUGCUCUAAUCAUCGUCCCAGGCAUCAUGGCCCUUGCCCAAGGACAAACAGAAAACUUCCAGAAUGCUUUUGACAUAGACACAGAAUCUUUCACUGUGUCCAAGCUUCCUUUGGCCUUCUACUCAGGUCUCUAUGCCUAUGGUGGAUGGUUUACUUUAAACUAUGUGACAGAGGAAGUUGUUAAUCCGAAUAGAAACAUUCCACUGGCAAUCGCUUUAUCAAUGAUCACAGUUACCGUGUGUUAUGUGCUGGUUAAUGUGGCAUACUACACUAUGAUGACCGGAGCUGAGCUGCUGAUGUCUGAGGCAGUGGCUGUGACCUUUGCCAGCCGAGCUUUGCAGGGCAUGGCCUCAGGGGUGCCCAUACUGGUUUCUCUGUCCUGCCUUGGGGCCCUUAAUGGAGGAUUCUUUGGAGUACCUAGGAUGCUGUUUGUGGGAGCCAGAGAGGGACACUGGCCAGCUCUCUUUUCUAUGAUCCACUUACGCAGAAAAACACCCCUGCCAGCUGUGCUAUUACUGUACCCUCUGGUGCUUGUCAUGGUAGCAAGAGGAGAAAUCUUUCAAUUGAUCAACUUCGCCUCCUUCUCACGCUGGUUCUUUAUUGCCUUGGCGACUCUGGGGCUUCUUGUCCACCGCUAUCGAUUCCCACACUAUCCAAGGCCAUUUAAGGUUCCCUUUGCUCUGAUUGUGAUCUUCACAGUGGUGUGUUUCUGCAUCGUGGGUAUGUCUCUGUAUUCGGACCCAUGGAACACAGGCGGCAGUUGCGCUCUUACACUUUCUGGAGUACCAGUGUACUACCUGGCAAUAAAACGCUCAUAUAUACCAGCCCAGUGGAGAAAGGCCUUCACCUCCUACCUGAGGGGAGCAGGACAAAGGAUAAAGUAUGUGUGUGCUGGAUGAGUGGGGUCCUUCGUGAUGCCAGUGGCCCUUUUCCUGCAUCUGGAGGUGUAAAUGUCCAUGGUGGUGGGAAGGCUGACUCCAACAGUCCUCUGUGCAGCCUUCACCACCCUCUGCAGAGCUUUCCUUUCUGCCGCAGAGCAACUUCCGUGCCACACAUUGAUGCUGGAGCACAGAACAUACUCCACCCCACAUCUGUAAAAUGAGACUACUGCAGCCUACAACUUCAGAUCCUGCUGGAAGUGGUACAACAAGAAGUUCUGACUUACUGAGAGAAACAAGAACAUUCUCUCCAUCAUACCGAGAGAAAAGUGAAUCACAAAAUCCUCCAUGUUAAAUAUAUGUACUCAUAUUGCUACUUACAAUGUCGAGUGCAUUAAGAAGUGAUGUUUUCAGAUUAGUCCACUGUGAAACUUUUCAGUUACAUUUUUCUUGACUAGUUGCAUGACAUAUACAGACUAGAUUUAGAGUGAACUUUAUACAAAGCGUUUAGAUAUCACUUUUUCUUUUUUAAUAUCAUUAUUAUGAAGAUAUUGACGUUUUUUCUUUCAAAACUAGUGAGUUUUUUUCUUGUUUUGAACUUAAAAUGAGCAUUUAGUAGGCUGAGUCUACUCAACCAUACUCAAACUACUCAACAACCACAGAAGAAGAGAACACUCAGCUCACAUCAUAUAAUGCAGGCUUCUCAAAAGUGGCCCUCAGGGACCUCCAGACAGUCCAUGUUUUUUCUUUAGGGCUGUGUUGGGACUUGGGAACAAGAUGUGGACCAUUUGGGGGUCCCUGAGGACCAGAACUACUGUUACAGGACUAAAUUGUGUUAUUUUUUCCCUCUGAUAUCCAACCCAGCAUUUUCUGCUGAUAUUGACCUGAUACUAAUAUCCAUUGAUAACUGUCAUGACAUCUUUAAAAGGGUGGGGUGAAAGUAAUAGUUUGUUCAAGAAAUAAAAAAUAUACGGAUACCGAGGUAAAAUUACACAAAACAAUUAUACAACUACACAAUAUAAUCUUACUUUGAACAAAUCAUGAUUUUUUAUGGCUGAUUCAGAUUCCCUUACAGCCAAACUGGCUGAUUAUGAUGAGCCUUUUAUAUAAACAAAAAGCUCACACCAUGGACUAAAUGAACACAAUGUUGAAACACACCAACACAUUUCACAGUACUUUCUGCUAGCCAAAGCUGCAACAUAAAUAACAUUAUUUGUUCUUUAAUAUGCACACAAGCAUUAAAGUACAGCAUGAGGUGCCCUUACCUGAGUCAUGAUGCCUGUGCCAUACAAUUGCAUCACAGAUUGGACAAAAUAAAAGUAAUAAAUUGAUUACUGAUUGCAAGUUCGGAGUAAAAAUCAGCAGAUUUCAAUCAUGCACGCUUAACAAAUAAUCAAGGCCCAGUGGCAAACGUCUGUGUAAAUUCAAUAAAACAAAAUGUAAACAUCUUAUAGAACACCCUUUAUUUAGAUCUUAUACGUAAAAUAAACUGUGUUUUUGUGUGUGUACAGGGGUGGGAAACAGGCCUUAAGCAGUGUGUUUAGGGGUGGGUACAGGCCCCAAAUGAACACAAAGCUUUAAACACUGUAUAUGCAGGAUAGUGGGGCUUUAAUGAAACUCUGCUUUUUAAAUGUCCUGUUUAAGCGAUUUUAAAAUACACGACUCCAAAAAAGGUCAAGUGCUGAUGGACUGCUACAAUAAAAAAUGGCAUUAAAA